GGAGCAAUACUCAAGCUGGUAUAAGAGGCGUCCCUGCUAAGGACGUAGGGUGGUUUAUCCCGCCGCGUGGGUUCGAAUCCCACUUGCUCCGCCA
rnacentral:tRNA from 1 species